GAUGAACGCUGACAGAAUGCUUAACACAUGCAAGUCUUUGGCGAAGCUGUGCUUGCACAGCCUAGCCAAGGCGGACGGGUGAGUAACGCGUAAGGAACUUGCCCUGCAGUCAGGGAUAACAGACGGAAACGACUGAUAAGACCUGGUAAAGUCAGGCGGACUCAUGUCCAGCCUGAUGAAAAGAGAUGCUGCAGGAGAGCCUUGCGUCCUAUUAGCUUGUUGGUGGGGUAACGGCCCACCAAGGCGAUGAUAGGUAGCCGGCCUGAGAGGGUGGACGGCCACAAGGGGACUGAGAUACGGCCCUUACUCCUACGGGAGGCAGCAGUGGGGAAUAUUGGACAAUGGGGGCAACCCUGAUCCAGCAAUUCUGUGUGCACGAUGAAGGUUUUCGGAUUGUAAAGUGCUUUCAGCAGGGAAGAAAAAAAUGACGGUACCGGCAGAAGAAGCGACGGCUAAAUACGU
rnacentral:rRNA from 1 species